UAGGGGCAAAAAGUGUCGGGGGGGAGGGGCUGGGAGAGGGACCACCGGCGCCUGGGACCUCUGGGACCACCAGGAUUCUGCCCUCAGGAAGUGAUCAGAGGGCUUCGAAGCUAAUCAUUCCAGCAUCAUUUACAAUAGCAAAAAACUGGAAAUAAUAUAAAUGCCAAAUAAGGCAACGGUUCAAUAAACCGUGGCACGUUCCCACGGAACUCUUAUGUGUCAUUAGCAAACACAGAUAUUAGGAUAAGUUAACGACAUGGGAAUUGCCGAAGGGAAAGAAGGCAGUAACCCCAAUGUCCCGUACAGUCUACGCACACCUGUGUCUGAAUAACCAGGCACGUGCACGCACACAUGUGCACAAACACACACAGCAGGAGAACAAAGACCAAAAAAAAUGUUUUGAAGGUUCCUUCUGAGUGAUGAGAUUAUCGGAUGAUUGGUAGCUUCUCCUUGUCCUAAUGUGAAGAGUUUUGUGUUUUUAAAAUAAUUACUGAAGGAUAAAUGUCAAUCCUUUAGCUGUCCCCUCAACUCUGAUCACUCUUGUCUCUAGGAUGACAGCGCUAGAACGUCAGCCUGGUCCGGGAAGCAUCGCACCUGCUUUGGUCAUAGCUGGUGCCCCAGUGCUAGAACAGUGCCCGGGACAUGGCCGGCGCUCCGCCAGCAUCUGCUGAUGAGGGGAUGAAAGAAUGAAAGGCGUGUAUCAGACACACGCACGCACACACACAUGGGGUCCCUGUGCACGGCAGCCUCCCCCAUCAGCCCUCGGGCAGGGACCAGGUCCCACCCCACUCUGUGUCCCCAGGGUUCAGCCCAGGACCUGACACAGAGCAAGAACUGAUGCGUGAAUGAAGGGCUAAAUAAAUGAACAUUCAGGCAAGGAAACCAUCUCUGAUCACAGCAUUCCAAGCUCUGCAGGGCCGGGAUCUGUGUGUGGGAGAGCUUGGUGCCUGCAUCUGGGAGAAAGGAGGGGGACAUCUCAGGGCUUUCUGAGAACCCAGGGGUCUGUCCUGGCCUGGCUCUGCCCUCCCUGCCUCCUCCGGCCCGCCCGGUCCACUGCAGCCCUGCCCUUCUGGUCCAGCCUUCCACCUGGGAGGAGUUCUGGAAUGCCUGACGCAAGCUACUCAAGAUGCAAUUUUGUUUUUCAAAGGAGAUGAGAGAGCGCCAGCUCCUUCCUGGAACAACUGUUCGGUCCUUUUGCCCUGGGACAAACAAUCUUGGUGACAAGUGUCUGGAAAGGAAGCCAGCAGGUGGAGACAGAGCAAGGAGGGGGGCAGACGGCUGGAGUCUGAAGCUGCCAGCACCGAGAGGGAGAAGGGUACCGGGAAGUGGCGGAGCUCCUGAGAGCUGGCCCUGAGUCACGCUCACAGCUGCGGCAGCCUGAGGCCUGGCCCAGCGGGGGUGCUUGAUGGGGAUGCUGAAACAGGAGGGGUUGAACGACCUGCCCAAGGACCCAUCACUUUUCACCCAGAGAAAUCUUGUUCUAGAAUCCCUGGUCUUAACCAGGCUGCCAAAGUGCCACUCACUGGACACCUUUCCCCUGUCACCGCAGUUUGCUCUGCCCAUCUUCUCUCCAACAGCCCAACAUCUCAUCUCCAGUUACCCCUCCUCAUCAUGCUGCCUUUUUUUUUUUUAAUGGCUGCACCCACGACCUAUGGAAGUUCCCAGGCCAGGGACGGAAUCCGAGCCACAGCUAUGGCCACACCAGAUCCCUUUAACCCACUGAGCCGGGCCAGAGAUCAACCCUGCAUCUCUGCAGCAACCAGAGCCGCUGCAGUCAGAUUCCCAACCCCACGGCACCAGGGCGGGAACUCUUUCCUUUUUUUUUUUUUUUUUUUUUUUUUUUUUUUUUUAGCAAUUU